UGAGUAAUGCCUAGGAAUCUGCCUGGUAGUGGGGGACAACGUUUCGAAAGGAACGCUAAUACCGCAUACGUCCUACGGGAGAAAGCAGGGGACCUUCGGGCCUUGCGCUAUCAGAUGAGCCUAGGUCGGAUUAGCUAGUUGGUGGGGUAAUGGCUCACCAAGGCGACGAUCCGUAACUGGUCUGAGAGGAUGAUCAGUCACACUGGAACUGAGACACGGUCCAGACUCCUACGGGAGGCAGCAGUGGGGAAUAUUGGACAAUGGGCGAAAGCCUGAUCCAGCCAUGCCGCGUGUGUGAAGAAGGUCUUCGGAUUGUAAAGCACUUUAAGUUGGGAGGAAGGGCAGUAAGUUAAUACCUUGCUGUUUUGACGUUACCGACAGAAUAAGCACCGGCUAACUCUGUGCCAGCAGCCGC
rnacentral:rRNA from 1 species